rnacentral:rRNA from 1 species
UGCUGGGGUGACUUGUCUGCUUAAUUGCGAUAACGAACGAAACCUUAACCUGCUAAAUAGCCCGCAUUGCUCCGGCAGUGCGCUGGCUUCUUAGAGGGACUUUCGGCUCAAGCCGAAGGAAGUUUGAGGCAAUAACA